UACGAAGGGGGCUAGCGUUGUUCGGAAUCACUGGGCUUAAAGGGCGCGUAGGCGGGUCUCCAAGUCGGUGGUGAAAUCUUUCGGCCCAACCGGAAAAGUGCCGCCGAUACUGGGGACCUCGAGGGGAGGUAGGGGUCGGGGGAACUAAUGGUGGAGCGGUGAAAUGCGUAGAUAUCAUUAGGAACGCCGGUGGCGAAAGCGCCCGACUGGACCUCUUCUGACGCUGAGGCGCGAAAGCCAGGGGAGCAAACGGG
rnacentral:rRNA from 1 species